UUGGAGGGCAAGUCUGGUGCCAGCAGCCGCGGUAAUUCCAGCUCCAAUAGCGUAUAUUAAAGUUGUUGCAGUUAAAAAGCUCGUAGUUGAAUUUCGGGAUUGACGUGAUGGUCAUGCCUUAAGGGGUAUGAACUGUUACAGUUGAUUUCUCACCUUCUGGAGAAACUUGAUGUCCUUUAUUGGGUGUCUUGCGGAUCCAGGACCUUUACCUUGAAAAAAUUAGAGUGUUUAAAGCAGGCAUUUUUGCUCGAAUACAUUAGCAUGGAAUAAUAGAAUAGGACGGCAUGGUUCUAUUUUGUUGGUUUCUAGGAUCACCGUAAUGAUUAAUAGGGAUAGUUGGGGGCAUUAGUAUUCAAUUGUCAGAGGUGAAAUUCUUGGAUUUAUUGAAGACUAACUACUGCGAAAGCAUUUGCCAAGGAUGUUUUCAUUAAUCAAGAACGAAAGUUAGGGGAUCGAAGACGAUCAGAUACCGUCGUAGUCUUAACCAUAAACUAUGCCGACUAGGAAUCAGGCGAUGUUAAUUUUUUAAUGACUCGUUUGGCACCUUACGGGAAACCAAAGUGUUUGGGUUC
rnacentral:rRNA from 1 species